UGAGUACGAGAUGCUACGGCAUCGAAGCAGUCUAUGUCAUACUUCCAAGAAAAGCUUGCAAUGUCAUAAACAAAUAAUGCCUGUACCAUAACCGACACAGGUGGGUAGGUAGAGUAUACUAAGGGGCGCGAGAUAACUCUCUCUAAGGAACUCGGCAAAAUGACUCCGUAACUUCGGGAGAAGGAGUGCCUUAUUUUUAUAAGGUUGCAAUAACAAGAUCCAAGCAACUGUUUACCAAAAACACAGGUCUCCGCUAAGUCGUAAGACGAUGUAUGGGGGCUGACGCCUGCCCAGUGCCAGAAGGUUAAAGAAGUUGGUUAGCAUUAGCGAAGCUGAUAACUGAAGCCCUGGUGAACGGCGGCCGUAACGAUAACGGUCCUAAGGUAGCGAAAUUCCUUGUCGGGUAAGUUCCGACCCGCACGAAAGGCGUAAUGAUUUGGAUACUGUCUCGGAGAGGGGCUCGGUGAAAUAGACUUGUCUGUGAAGAUGCGGACUACCUGCACCUGGACAGAAAGACCCUAUGAAGCUUUACUGUAACUUGAGAUUGAAAUUGGACUUUAUCUGCGCAGUAUAGGUGGGAGACGUUGAAAAUAUUCUUGCGGGAAUAUUGGAGUCAUCAGUGAGAUACCACUCUUAUAAUGUUAGAUUUCUAACUUUGUAUCAUUAUCUGGUCAAAGAACAGUUUCAGGCGGGCAGUUUGACUGGGGCGGUCGCCUCCCAAACGGUAACGGAGGCGCACAAAGGUUUCCUCUGAACGUGUAGAAAUCGUAUCUAGAGUGUAAAGGCAUAAGGAAGCUUGACUGUGAGACCUACAAGUCGAGCAGGGACGAAAGUCGGUCUUAGUGAUCUGACGGUGCUGAGUGGAAAGGCCGUCACUCAACGGAUAAAAGUUACUCUAGGAUAACAGGCUGAUCUCCCCCAAGAGUUCUCAUCGACGGGGAGGUUUGGCACCUCGAUGUCGGCUCAUCGCAUCCUGGGGCGGUAGUACGUCCCAAGGGUUGGGCUGUUCGCCCAUGAAAGCGGUACGCGAGCUGGGUUCAGAACGUCGUGAGACAGUUCGGUCCAUAUCCGGUGUAGGCGUUAGAAUAUUGAGAGUAGCCUUCUUUAGUACGAGAGGACCGAGAAGGACAUACCUCUGGUGUACCAGUUAUCGUGCCAACGGUAAACGCUGGGUAGCCAUGUAUGGAGAGGAUAACCGCUGAAAGCAUCUAAGUGGGAAGCCCACCUCAAGAUAAGUAUUCUC
rnacentral:rRNA from 1 species